rnacentral:rRNA from 1 species
GGCUCAGGACGAACGCUGGCGGCGUGCUUAACACAUGCAAGUCGAACGAGAUCCAUCCAGUAGCAAUACUGGUGAAGAUCUAGUGGCGAACGGGUGCGUAACACGUGAGGAACUUGUCCCGGUCUCUGGGAUAACAGUUGGAAACGACUGCUAAUACCGGAUGACGUCGGAGUGUCGCAUGGCACGCUGACGAAAGGGUUACCGGAUCGGGAGAGCCUCGCGGCCUAUCAGCUUGUUGGUGGGGUAAUGGCCUACCAAGGCAUCGACGGGUAGCUGGUCUGAGAGGAUGAUCAGCCACACUGGGACUGAGACACGGCCCAGACUCCUACGGGAGGCAGCAGUGGGGAAUCUUGCACAAUGGGCGAAAGCCUGAUGCAGCAACGCCGCGUGCGGGAAGAAGGCCCUCGGGUUGUAAACCGCUUUCAGAAGGAACGAAACUGACGGUACUUUCAGAAGAAGGUGCGGCCAACUACGUGCCAGCAGCCGCGGUGACACGUAGGCACCAAGCGUUGUCCGGAUUUAUUGGGCGUAAAGAGCUCGUAGGCGGUUCAGUAAGUCGGUUGUGAAAACUUUGGGCUUAACCCAAAGCGUGCGUCCGAUACUGCUGUGACUUGAGUUCGGUAGGGGAGUGGGGAAUUCCUAGUGUAGCGGUGAAAUGCGCAGAUAUUAGGAGGAACACCGGUGGCGAAGGCGCCACUCUGGGCCGAAACUGACGCUGAGGAGCGAAAGCAUGGGUAGCAAACAGGAUUAGAUACCCUGGUAGCCCAUGCCGUAAACGUUGGGCACUAGGUGUGGGUUCCAACCAACGGAAUCCGCGCCGUCGCUAACGCAUUAAGUGCCCCGCCUGGGGAGUACG